GGAGUGAUGGUGAAAUGGUAUCACGCUCGGCCGUAACCCGACAGUCCUAGGUUCGACUCCUAGUCGCUCCA
rnacentral:tRNA from 1 species